GAUGAACGCUGGCGGCGUGCCUAAUACAUGCAAGUCGAGCGAACCUCUUCGGAGGUUAGCGGCGGACGGGUGAGUAACACGUGGGCAACCUACCUUGUAGAUGGGGAUAACAUCGAGAAAUCGGUGCUAAUACCGAAUAACACUUUUCUCCACAUGGAGAAAAGUUAAAAGUUGGCUUUUGCUAACACUACAAGAUGGGCCCGCGGCGCAUUAGCUAGUGGGUGAGGUAACGGCUCACCAAGGCGACGAUGCGUAGCCGACCUGAGAGGGUGAUCGGCCACACUGGGACUGAGGCACGGCCCAGACUCCUACGGGAGGCAGCAGUAGGGAAUCUUCCGCAAUGGACGAAAGUCUGACGGAGCAACGCCGCGUGAGUGAUGAAGGCCUUCGGGUCGUAAAACUCUGUUGUUAGGGAAGAACAAGUACCGUUCGAAUAGGGCGGUACCGUGACGGUACCUAACCAGAAAGCCACGGCUAACUACGUGCCAGCAGCCGCCGCCG
rnacentral:rRNA from 1 species